CCUACGGGUGGCUGCAGUGGGGAAUCUUCCGCAAUGGGCGCAAGCCUGACGGAGCAACGCCGCGUGAGUGAAGAAGGUCUUCGGAUCGUAAAGCUCUGUUGAUGGGGACGAACGUGCGAAGGGUGAAUAAUCCUUUGUAAUGACGGUACCUAUCGAGGAAGCCACGGCUAACUACGUGCCAGCAGCCGCGGUAAUACGUAGGUGGCGAGCGUUGUCCGGAAUCAUUGGGCGUAAAGGGAGCGCAGGCGGGCAUGUAAGUCUUUCUUAAAAGUGCGGGGCUCAACCCCGUGAUGGGAAAGAAACUAUAUGUCUUGAGUACAGGAGAGGAAAGCGGAAUUCCCAGUGUAGCGGUGAAAUGCGUAGAUAUUGGGAGGAACACCAGUGGCGAAGGCGGCUUUCUGGACUGCAACUGACGCUGAGGCUCGAAAGCCAGGGGAGCG
rnacentral:rRNA from 1 species